AUUGAACGCUGGCGGCAGGCCUAACACAUGCAAGUCGAACGAGUGGCGGACGGGUGAGUAAUGUCUGGGAAACUGCCUGAUGGAGGGGGUUACCUACGGAAAACGGUAGCUAAUCCCCCAUACCAUCGUAUGUCCCCGGAUGGGAUUAGCUGUUAGGUGGGGUAACGGCUCACCUAGGCGCCGAUCCCUAGCUGGUCUGAGAGGAUGACCAGCCACACUGGAACUGAGACACGGUCCAGACUCCUACGGGAGGCAGCAGUGGGGAAUAUUGCACAAUGGGCGCAAGCCUGAUGCAGCCAUGCCGCGUGUAUGAAGAAGGCCUUCGGGUUGUAAAGUACUUUCAGCGGGGAGGCGUUACCGGCAGAAGAAGCACCGGCUAACUCCGUGCCAGCAGCCGCGGUAAUUC
rnacentral:rRNA from 1 species